UGAGGCCUUAGCUUAAUUAAAGUGUCUGGUUUGCAGUCAGGCGAUGUGUGUUAAAGUAUCACAGGUCUU
rnacentral:tRNA from 1 species